CAACAUUAGCUUGAGUAAAUAUAUUAUUAAAUGUAUAGAACAUAAACAUUGCUUUAACCUUGCAGAAAAAUGAGUGUGUGCUUGAGCUCCAUUCCCUACCAUUUACAUUCUGAACACAGAUGUGAUUGUUUGAGCUCUUGGCAAGGUGGGACUCUGUCAGUCCAACUCUGGAUUCAUUCUGCUGAGUCAUUACACAAAAUGAUAUUAUGUUGACAGAGACAAAUGCCUCAGGAGGCAGUGCUCUAAAAUGACUUUGUUCCAAGGUAUAUUUAAUCUUGAGAGCUGGACGCAUUUCGAUACAACAGAGCACAGAUUCAGUCCUAUAAGAGCAUUUCAUUCCCGCUUUGGUGUCGGUCAUGUGCAUGUGGAUUUUGCCAGUUGUUUGUCAUGUUUAUCACACUGACUGUUGAAAGCUGGACGUAAUGUGCAUUUAAAAGGGAAGUGUGCUAUUUGUGCACCAAGGCACAUAGUUUUUUGGACAUUUUGUCAUCCGCAGGGCAAAAAUCUGCGAAAUCAUUUGUCAUUGCAAAUGCUAAAUUAAAUUAGCACAGUCUGAAACUGACAUGUUGGGAGAGAUAAUAGCUGCUGUUACUGAUUCAAUGAAAAUAGCAUAAGCACAAGCAUGAAAAAAUCUAAAACAGCAGAUGAACAACCAAAAAGCCACUAUACAACAAAAUAGGAAAUUGUUCAAAAUCAGCCACCAGUCACUCAUAUACGUCAACAGAUUUGGAGAAUUUUAGCAUCACAUCAAUUGCACACCAGUGGAUCCUUUGCAGUGAAUGGGUGCCAUCAGAAGGAGAGCCCAAACAGCUGAUAAAAACAUCACAAUAAUCCACAAGUUAUCAACACAACUUCAGAAUGAUGGCCAGAGGGUACAUAAGCCUAUAUCAGAUUGUAGCUGCUGUGUGUCACAUGACAAGCAUGAGAGCAUAAAAGCACAAGAUCCAUCCAUCCAUCCAUCUAUCUAUGCAUCACCUAAUCUACAGCUUUCAUGUAGAUGAAUGGAGCUAUAAAUCAGCAUGAAUGGUUUCAAGGUUUUUCACCGUUAUGCUUUUCCUGACAUGAAUAUUGCUGCUACUCUACAGGACAGUUGCCCUUCAGGACCGACUUUGGACACCCCUGGUCUAAACUGAAUAUCAAAUAUUCAAAUUGAUUCUGCUUUUUCAAGGACAAACUUGUUAACGUUCCUAUGUCAGUUCUAAGAGAUGUAAUGUAUGAGAAAUGAUUGAUUGUGUUUACAUGCUUGGCACAUUUAUCUGUAUGUAAAACUAAAUCAAUAACUGGUUUUAAUUUAAGCAGCAUCAUAUACUAAUAUUAUUUUUGUAAUUAAACACAAAUCAUUAUAUCAUUUUAUAAUGGCAAUAUGCGAUUGAUUAAAUUCUAGUUUGCUGCUCUGAUUUAAAAUUUUCUAUCAGAGGGCAUUCUCUGUUGUAAUCAGCUGUUGAAGUCAAAGAGCGGGUUUUCCCAGCAGAAAUGAAGACUUGUUAUGAUAUUGAUUGAUGGUGAGUGUCUGCCUCAUGAGGUGGAAAUCGAUGGGCGCUCUGUGAAUACCAGGAGAGCUGUGACAAAUGCCUCUGAUGCCUUCCCAUGAAUACCCUGGUGGGCUUUCAUAAAUAAGUCAGAGAGUCAAUGGGUAGACACAGAGAGAUUUGAACCAGCAAUGAAUUGUGUUAGCAUCCUCCACACACUCUGCAUCUGUAUAUAGGUGGAUAUUUGAACAAAUGGCUGAUUGUACCAAUGCAGUAAUUUUGGGCAUUAUGGGCAAUAUGAAGGCUGUUCUAAACUGUACAG